ensembl:misc_RNA 7SK 7SK RNA
GGAUGUGAGGGUGAUCUGGCUGUGACAUCUGUUACCUCAUUGAUCGCCAGGGUUGAUUGGGCUGAUCUGGCUGGCUAGGUAUGUGUCCCCUUCCUUCCUCACCACUCCAUGUGCGUCCAUCCAGAGCCUGUGUCCAAGAGGAUGGCCUUCCCCAAAUAGAGAUGGGCCGGUAUAGGAGUAGCUGCACUCCCCUGCUAGAACCUACAAACAAUCUCUCAAGGUCCAUUUGUAGGAGAAUGUAGGGAAGUCAAACUUCCAAAUCUCCAGACACAUCCAAAAAAAGGUGCUGCAUGUGGCACUCUGCCUUUCU